rnacentral:rRNA from 1 species
GACGAACGCUGGCGGCGUGCCUAACACAUGCAAGUCGAGCGGAGCGGCGGACGGGUGAGUAAUGCCUAGGAAUCUGCCUGGUAGUGGGGGUUAACGUCCGGAAACGGGCGCUAAUACCGCACACUAUCAGAUGAGCCUAGGUCGGAUUAGCCAGUUGGUGUGGUAAAGGCCUACCAAGGCGACGAUCCGUAACUGGUCUGGGCGGAUGAUCAGUCACACUGGAACGGAGGCACUGUCCUGCCUCCUAGGGGAGGCAGCAGUGGGGAAUAUUGGACAAUGGGCGAAAGCGUGAUCCAGCCAUGCCGCGUGGGUGAAGAAGGUCUUCGGAUUGUAAGGCACUUUAAGUUGGGAGGCGUUACCAACAGAAUAAGCACCGGCUAACUUCGUGCCAGCAGCCGCGGUAAUAC